CGGACGGGUGAGUAAUGUAUGGGGAUCUGCCUGAUGGCGGGGGAUAACUACUGGAAACGGUAGCUAAUACCGCAUAAUGUCUACGGACCAAAGCGGGGGACCUCCGGGCCUCGCGCCAUCAGAUGAACCCAUAUGGGAUUAGCUUGUAGGUAAGGUAACGGCUUGCCUAGGCGACGAUCCCUAGCUGGUCUGAGAGGAUGACCAGCCACACUGGAACUGAGACACGGUCCAG
rnacentral:rRNA from 1 species